rnacentral:rRNA from 1 species
GACGAACGCUGGCGGCGUGCUUAACACAUGCAAGUCGAGCGGUAAGGCCCUUCGGGGUACACGAGCGGCGAACGGGUGAGUAACACGUGAGUAAUCUGCCCAUCACUUCGGGAUAACUCCGGGAAACCGGUGCUAAUACCGAAUAUGACCACUUCAGGCAUCUGAUGGUGGUGGAAAGUUCCGGCGGCGAUGGAUGAGCUCGCGGCCUAUCAGCUUGUUGGUGGGGUAGUGGCCUACCAAGGCUUCGACGGGUAGCCGGCCUGAGAGGGUGACCGGCCACACUGGGACUGAGACACGGCCCAGACUCCUACGGGAGGCAGCAGUGGGGAAUAUUGGACAAUGGGCGAAAGCCUGAUCCAGCAACGCCGCGUGAGGGAUGACGGCCUUCGGGUUGUAAACCUCUUUCAGCAGGGACGAAGCGCAAGUGACGGUACCUGCAGAAGAAGCACCGGCCAACUACGUG